GAGGCAACUGACACCUCGACGCGACCCACCAAACUGCGUCAAGAAGACGAAGAGGAAAUAAAAGCAGAAGGCCAAAAAAAAAAAAAACUCCAUUCCUCCUUCCCUCCCCUCCCCUCUGGACUCUCUAAAUCUCUCUCUGUUCGAAUUCGAAUCCAGGGUUUUGCCUCUCCAUAUUCAUCAUCUUCUUGUUGCCGCCGCAGCUGCUGGAGAAGAAUUGGGCGAUCGAUGCCGCUGGAACUCCGUUGAUUCUGCGAUCAUUGAUCGGGCGGUCGCCGAUCCGAUGGAUAAGACCAAAAACCGGACAGAUCUCCUAGCCGCCGGCCGAAAAAAGCUCCAGCAAUUUAGACAGAAGAAGGAUCACAAGGGCGGGGGUAGCCAUGCGAAAUCCUUGAACAAGGCGAGCAGGCCUGGGAAGGACGCCGACGCCGAUGAACUGACAAAGGUUACCGAGCCAGAGCCAGAGCCAGAGCCGGAGGAUACUAAAGUUGUAUAUACCCAUGAAUCAGUGACAGUGUCCGAGCCCUUGCCUACUUCAGGCAUUGACGCUGACGAAACGGCAAAGGUGCCCGAGCCUGAUUCCAGUUUGGCUGUCGACGCUGAUGAACCAACAAAGGUGCCUGAGCCAGAGCCUACUUCAGCCAUCGAUGCUGAUGAUCUGGUGAAGGGGCCGGAGCCUGAGCUAGAGUCUACUUCGGUUGUUCAUGCUGAGGCGAGGACUGCUAAUCGAUCGGAUCCGUUAGUGGCGGUCCGAUAUGUGGAUUUACCACCUGUGCCCUCUGUUGGAGAGAGUGAUGCAGGAGUUCAGAAAGAGCAGGUAGAUUCCGAAGAGGUUCCAGUUGACGUCUCCAUUGAUGAUGGCGGCUCGAGAUCUGCCGUUAUGGUACACCAUCAGGUAGGGGCAAUGCAGGAAGCUAAAAAUUCUGGAUUGGAGCAAUGCAAUGGUGAGAGCUCAGGCAUUGGGAUGUUGAUGGUGAAGGACAGAAGAGACCAGGCUGGGGGAAGUACUGUUUUUGUGGUCCCGGACACUGACAGGUCGAAGGAGGAUCCCAUUGCUGCAGAACCCAGUUUGGGAGUUGAAGCGGCUCAAGAGGUGGACAGAAUGUCUGCUGCAACUGAAGAAAGAAUUGAGGGAGAAGAUGGUCGGACGAAUUCUAGUGGGAGAUUGGAAACAAGAUUCUCGGGGAUACAAAAUGGAAAGGAGGAUCAUGAUGCAGAGACAUAUGGGGUGAAGGAAGAAACUGUUGCCCUUGAAAGUCUACCACUUGGGAGGCCUCAAGAAGCAAAUGGGAUUUCCAUUCCUGUUGACAUAAUUCAAGAGAUGGGAACAAAAAUUUGUGAUGAGCUUCUAAAGAUUCCUAAAAGGGAAGAAAGUUUGGAAAUGCUAUCACAACUUACUUCUGACAGGACUAGUUCACUUGAAGAAAAUGCUGAUAUGCCAUCUCCAUCUCAUGUUACUUCUGACACUACAAGGGAAGAAAGCUCAGCUAUAGCUGAUGCCAGAGGGGAAGUAGGUAUUAAUGCGGAAAGUGGUAUAUGUCAACCUUAUAUUGGAGAGGUUGUUGAGGCUGAGAGUGAAUCAGCAGGGUUACUUCAAGAAGGGGCCAUUGCACCUGCAGAAAAGGUUGAGGGAUUUAAAGAAGAUGAUCCUCUUUUCCUAUCUAAGUCGACAGAUCCAGUUUUUUCCACAGGGAUGUGGUAUAUGCUGAAAAGAGUUCUGCAGGAAGGGAGCUUUGCCAAUGAGUUGGAUAGUAUUAGAAGGCACCUUUACUUAACAAUUGUUGCAAGGGAUUUUCUCCAGAUGCAAUUAGAUGAACAGACUGUGUUGACUGCAGAUUUUCACCAGCAGUCUUCUGAUGAAGUGUCCAAACUCUUGGGGUUAGUGAAAGAAGCUCAGGAAAGCAAGGCAUUGGCUAGCGAGGAGCUAGCUCAGUGUCGAUCUGAUCUCCAGGCUAUGACUAUUGCAAAGGAGGAACUUGAGAUCAGGUUUAUCUCCACAAGAGGGGAAAUUGAGUGCCUCAGUAGCAGGGCCUCUGAGUUGCAGAACAAACUUGAACAAUCACAAAAAGAGUUGGUACUUGUUUCAGCAGACUUAGCUAACUGCAGGGGUUUAGUGGAAGCUUUACAAAAUGAAAACAUGAACUUAACUGCAAGCAUCAGUUCAGAAAUGGAUCCAAGAAAAAUCCUUGAGGAGGAGAAACAGCUCUUGUCUAGUGAGAAUAUGCGACUUAAUUCUGAGUUGUCUGAACAAAAAGAGAGGUUGCUUGUUGCACUGGAUAAGCAAAAGCAACUUGAGUGCAACCUAAGGGAAACGGGGGUUUUCUUUGACCAACUUACUGAGGAAAACAUUUAUCUGUCUAGCAGUUUAGAUAUACACAAAGCUAAGAUAAAGGAGUUUGAUGUUGGGCUCUUCCAAGCCCAACAAGCUAGAGAUCAAGAAAACAAUUGUCAUGUGGAAUGCAGAGCUACUGAUAAUGCAGUUGAAGAUUCUGGGAGCAGUGUGAGGAAUUCAGUAGGGCUUCAGCAGGUUGAUGAGGAAGGUUCUGGCAGUUCUGUUGCAUUGGGAGUACUGAAGGGGCGCUUGGAAGAGGCCAAAAGCAUAUUACAAAAUCUCGAAAAAUCAAUUCAAGGGAUGCAUUCCUAUUCUGUGUCCUUAAUUAGGGCAGGUGGCAGAGCCCCAGCACCUGGAGUAUCGAAACUUAUUCAAGCCUUUGAGUCAAAAUCCCAUCAUACUGAUAAUGCAUCAGACAAGGUGUCAUUGACCGAGGGAGGGCAAUCAGAUGAUUUAUAUACACUAGCGAUGGAGCAGCUGGGCCUCUUUAGAGAUACAUUAAAGCAGGUGGAAUUGGAUGUCAGAAAGGCUGAAGUACAUAUAAUGGGAGAAUAUAAUAGCAGGGAGAUCUUUCAAAAGUAUGAGAUAGAGUGUGAAGCCCAAAGGCAACAAAAUAGUGUCCUUCAGGCAAAGAUUGUUGAGAUUGUUCAGAAGCUGUCCAAGUAUAUAAUCAGAAUAGAUGAUCUACAGAAUCAGUUUAAUGAAAUUCAGCGAUGUGCUAGUGAUGGGGAAGAGAGGCUUUUAAGUGAAGUGAAGUUGUUGCAGGAGGAAGUGAAUGACAGGGUGUCUGUUCUGCAGCAUGAAAGAGAAUCUGUUAAGGGGAUUUUUGAGGCAUUUGAAAAGAUUUUCCCAUCUGCUGGACUGCAAACUUCUGAUCUUGUUACUGAUAAGAAAGAGAGGCUCUUAAGUGAAAUACAGUCAUUGCAGAAGGAUGUGAUUGACAGGAACUCUAUUAAAGCCAUGAUUUUGGAGGGACUUGAAAAGCUUAACUCAUCUACUGGACUGCUGUUUGCAGAUAACUUAGAGAUUGGCUCCUAUGUCUCGGCUUCAGUUGAUGCUGCCAUAAGAUCAAUCGAGAGCCUGCAUGAAAAACUAAAUGCUGCUCGUCUGAACCAUGAGACACUCCAUACUUCAUACAUGGAAUUGGAUAAACUGUAUAAUGAUGUCCAAGGAAUGAACGACUUGGCAAUUCGGCAGAUGCAUAAAAUGUACAACAGCCUACAGAAGUUGUGUCCAAGUGUUGAUGAAUCUGAGAUGGAUGUUAAUGCUGAGGAAGUGCUAGAACUUCUACCAAAAAGGCACGAACUACUUAUCGAGUAUCUGCAGAAAUUGCUGGAUGAGCGGGUUCUCCACUUAUCUAAAACUAAGGAGCUAGAAUCAGGGUUAUUGAGCAAAAAUGAAGAAAUUGAGGGGCUGAGCAAGAGAUGUAGUGCUUUGGAUAAAAAGUUGGAUGACUUGUGUUAUGCUAAAGAUGAGCUUGAAAUGAUUUUGAUGAGUAAAAAUGAAGUUCUUGAUGAAGUGAACAGAAGAUGUCUUGCUCUAGCCAAGAAGUUGGAUGGCCAUGAACUGACUAAAGAUCUAAAUACCUUCCAUGGGCUGGCUGAAAUUAACAAAGUUAUUGCAAGGUCUGACAACAAGGCGAAUGACUUGAGCAAGUCUGUAUUACAACAAUUAGAGGUGUUGGUUGAUUUCCAUCUUCAGAAAUAUGAAGAGGCAAUCAAGCAGAUUAACUUGUCCAAGAAAUACUUAGAGGAAGUUAACAUCAUACCAGAAAUUUCAUCUGACAACUGGUCAUUGCCCUUGCUUACAUUGCUCAGUCAAGAAUUCAUGCCUAAGUUGCAUGAGUUACAGGAAAAAUUGGACUCCUUAAGUGCCUUAAAUCUUCAACAGGAAACUGAAAAUCAAAUCCUCAAGGAGAGCCUGCAUAAGACGGAGGAAGGUCUGGAAGCAUCUCGUUCUGAGUUGUAUUUGAAAGUAUCUGAACUUGAGCAGUCAGAGCAGAGACUUUCCUCUGUUAGAGAGAAACUCAGUAUUGCUGUUGCGAAAGGCAAAGGUUUAAUUGUGCAGCGAGACAGUCUUAAGCAGUCUCUCAUGGAGAAGUCAAGUGAGCUUGAAAAGUGCUCACAGGAAUUACAAUCAAAAGAAGACUUGCUCAUGGAAGCUGAGGCAAAGCUGAAGUCUUAUUCAGAAGCAGAUCGUAUUAAAGCUCUAGAAUCUGAACUCUCUUACAUCCGCAAUUCUACUACUGCAUUAAGAGACUCCUUUCUUUUUAAAGAUUCUGUUCUUCAGAGGAUUGAAGAAGUUUUGGAAGAUCUGGAUUUGCCAGAGGACUUCCAUUCUAAAGAUAUAGUAGAGAAAAUCGAGUUCCUAUCCAGAAUGGUUGCUGGGAAUGCCCCUUUUUCUAUUACUGAAUGGGAUCAAAGGAGAUCUGCAGGGGGCUCUCAUUCCAUUGCAGAUACUGGGAAAGAUGACCUACAGGCAAGUUCAAAUCCUGGAUAUGAUGAAUUAGAAAACAAAUAUGAGGAGAUUCAGAGAAGGUUUUAUGGUUUGGCUGAGCACAAUGAUAUGCUGGAACAAUCCCUGAUGGAGAGAAAUAGCCUUGUGCAGAAAUGGGAAGAAGCUUUGGACAGAAUUGAUAUGCCUCCACAGUUCAGGACAUUGGAGCCAGAAGAUAAGAUUGAAUGGUUAGGGAAUGCACUUUUUGAGGUCCAACAUGAAAGAGAUGCAUUGCAACUGAAGAUAGAGAACCUUGAAGACUCUUCUGAUAUGCUCAUAGUUGACUUGGAAGAGUCGCACAAAAAAAUAUCUGAACUCAGUGCAGAGGUUGUAGCUAUUAAAUCUGAGAAAGAUUUCUUUUCAGAGAGUUUGGAAAAGCUCAGGUUUGAAUAUCUCGGACUCUCGGAGAAAGCUGUUCAUGAUGAGAUUGAAAGAGAUAAUUUGCGAAAAGAACUAGCUAGCUUGCAGGAAAAAUUGGCUGGGAAGAUUGAGAACAACGAUUAUCAUGAUACUGAAAAUGAUAUCUGGAAAUUAUUUGAUUUGGUUAGCAAUGCAUUGCCAGAUAGUGAUAGGUCUGAGGCUCUCUCUGCUGGUACUGUUACUGAAUGUUUGGAAGGAUUGUUGAGGGAGCUUAUAGAUAAAUAUGCAGACCUAGCUUUAGAGAAAUCUGUGCACAAAGUUAGUGAGAAGGAAUUUGUUUCAGAGGAAAGCAAUUUGUCUCCUGAUACAAACGCAUCAACAAAUGCUCUGGAUGGCAAAGAUCAGGAACUGGUGAAUCUGAGGUUAGAGCUUGAUGAGGCUUGCUGUAAUCUGGUUUCAGUUAAGAAGGAAAGAGAUGAAGCCAUGGAGAAGUGCCAUUCUGUGAUGUUGGAAGUUGAGGAAAUAAGUAAACAGAUCAACUUAUUGCAGGAGGAGAAGACUGUUUACAUGGAGAAGUAUCAAUCUUUGUUGUUGGAAUUAGAUGCAACAAGUAAACAGAGGGAUGCUUUGCAAGAACAGCUAACUCAGGAGGAGCAAAAGUCGGCCUCUGUGAGAGAGAAGUUAAAUGUUGCUGUUAGAAAAGGCAAGGCACUGGUACAACAAAGAGAUAGCCUGAAACAAGCAAUUGAAGAGAUGAAUGUUGUGAUGGAUAACUUGAAGACUGAGCAUAACCAGCAGGUAGAAGCCCUAGAGUCUGAGAAAUCAUUAUUAAUGAAUCGGCUGACAGAAAUGGAGCAAAGUUUGCAAGACCACGGCAAGACCUUUCAUGGAUUUUUAACUGCUUUGCAUGGCAUUGAUGUUGGUUGUGAAAUUAAUGUAACUGAUCCAGUACAGAAGAUGGAAGAAAUUGGGAGACUCAGUCAUGAUUUGCGUUCAGCACUAGUUUCUUCAGAGAAUGAAGCCAAGAAAUCCAAACAAGCUUCUGAGCUUCUUCUAGCUGAGUUGAAUGAAGUUCAGGAGAGAGCUGACAUGCUUGUGGAGGAACUGGCAAAGGCAGAAGCCACUAUUACAGAGUGUUCUAGACAGAAAGAAAUUGCAGAGGCUGCAAGAAUUGAUGCUCUUAAUCGCCUGGAACAAUUAAUUCUAUUUAAUUCAGAGGAAAGAAAGAAACAACUUGACAAUUUGCUAGAGCUGAAGUCGGGCAUUGGCCAACUAAGGAAUAUUUGCUUUGAAUUUUCAAGUCUUCUUGCUAAUGUGUUUACCAGAGAUAUGAACCUCUUCUGCAGUUUGGAGAACUUUAUGGAUUCCAUUGAGAAACAGAUGAAUUGUGCUAAUUUGGCUGACCUUCCUGUUCUGUCAUCUAGCAGCCUGCUGUCAAGUAAUCCAGUAAACGAGGAGAAGUUCAAUGCCAUCAAUGCUCUGUCAGAUCCUAGGAUGCAAGAACAAUUGGAUGACUGUUCAAUAGCUGAACAUUUUGCUAUCACUAGUCAUAGUGUGUUUGAAUGCUUAAGGCAAUGUGAUGAGUUGAAAGGAAAUAUUCACAAGCACUCAUUGUCAGUCGACCAACAAGCCACACUCCUGUUGCAAAUCAUGGAGACUGUACAGAGAAAAUUAGCUUCUCAGAGGGAAGGUUCAGAUUCUCUGAAGAGAGAUUUAAAUGAUCUUGAGCUGGUGAUCAAGGAAAAGGAGAAUCAGAUUUGUUCAAUGUCUAGAAAUCUGUCUCUGCUUUAUGAAGCAUGUAGCAGUUCAAUCACUGAGAUUGAGAAUGGAAAAGUCCAAAUAGUUGAAAAUAGCCUACCUUCUGGGGAGCAUGCCUUAGAAAAAACUGGUAGAGUCUUGAAAUUACCAAGUUACACCAAUAAGCAAGAGCAUCCUGAUGGAUAUACAUAUUCCUUCACAGAUGACUGCAUCAGAUCGAUGGCUGAUAAGUUAUUAUCAGCUGUCAAGGGCACAAGCAUCGUAAAUGCGAUGGCAGGGGGUAACCAAAGGGAACUGAAGGCCACCAUAUUGGAUUUGCAGAAAGAACUACAGGAAAAGGAUAUCCAAAUGAAUAGAAUCUGUGAAGAGCUUGUAUCUCAGAUAAGGGAUGCUGAAGCUGCUACAAGGCGAUCCUCAUCAGAUCUUGAUUCUGCGAAAACAAAAAUUCAUAAUUUAGAGAAGCAGGUUGAAGUGCUGGAGAAGGAUAACAAAUUAUUGGAGCUAAGAGUACAUGAGGUAAAAGAUUUGGAGGAUUCAUUACAUGAGGUACAAGGGAAAAUUAAAUCUUUAACUGAUGCGUUGACUGCUAAAGAUCAAGAAAUUGAAGCCCUCAUGCAAGCGCUUGAUGAGGAAGAGACACAAAUGGAGGACAUGGAAAGAAAGAACACGGAACUGGAGAAUAUAAUUGAAGAAAAGAACCUCGCACUGGAGAGUCUUGAAGCUUCUCGAGCGAAGGUGGUGGCAAAGCUUUCAGUGACUGUCAGCAAGUUUGAUGAGUUGCAUAACCUGUCAGAGAGCCUUCUUGCAGAGGUGGAAAAUCUUCAGUCUCAAUUGCAAGGGCAGGAUUCAGAGAUCUCAUUCUUGCGUCAGGAGAUAACUAGGUAUACCAAUGAUUUUCUGGCCUCACAGGAGACUAACAAGAAGUACUCAUCUGAAAUAUGCAAGUUGUUAAAAUGGUUUGAUAUGGUAGUGGGACGUUUUGGGGUGCAACACAUAGAUAUUGAUGAUCAGGAGUUCAGACAAAUUCAAAUUUACACUGAUAUUUUGGACAAGAAAAUUUUGUCUGUUAUGACUGAAUUAGAUGAUCUACGAGUAACAGUUAAAAGUAAAGAUGCUCUGUUACAAGUUGAAAGGGCUAGAGUGGAAGAAUUAUCAUGCAAAUCUGAAGUUCUCGAGAAUUCUUUACAUGAGAAAGAAACACAAAUGGAGCUUGUACAAAGAAAUUCUGGUCAGUCUUCUAGUGUGAACUCCCCACGGUCUCUAGAGAUUGAUCAAAUGAAAAACAAAGUAAGCUCAGGUGCGGUUGUUACGCAUGUCCGCAGUGGGCGCAAAGUCAAUAGUGACCAAAUAGCCAUAGCUAUAGAUACAGAAAAUGAUAAUAAUAUGUUAGUUGAUGAGGACGAUGAUAAAGCACAUGGCUUCAAGUCACUUACUAUGUCUCGCUUUGUUCCAAGAACCACUCGGCCUAUAGCAGACAGGAUUGAUGGAAUAUGGGUAUCAGGUGAAAGGCUGCUUAUGAGGCAACCUACCUUACGGCUUGGAUUUUUGAUAUAUUGGGUUGCAUUGCAUGCAUUACUUGCUAGUUUCAUCUGAAAGCAAUGUCAUCACGACAAUCUAAAUUACCUGAAGCGGGAGCAAGUUUGACACAGAUAAUGAGGAACACGAAGGCCUUUAGAAGAUUUCAGUAAGGAAGCGCUUCAUAAUUCUCUUGGAUACUAUAUGGGGCAAGCCGAUGGCCUUUCCCCUCCCAAGUCCAUCAGCAAUGAUGCAUUCAGCUCUGUAUAGGCUCUUGAUUCUUUCCUUUAAAUAUGAGACAACACAUAUGGUCUACCAUACAAUUGUUUUGGCUAUUUUGGCAGCUGUGGUUUCAUCACCAGUUUUUUUUCGAAUUAUGAUUCCCAGUUGGCCUUGGUGGCAUUCAAUAAAGCAAUCAACAUCCCAGUACACAGAAGCUUGUGAAGAAUGAGCCCCGGCAUCCCCUGUAAAUUAGAAUCAUUCUUUUUGUUUUUUUUAUAUAGAUGAAAGCUUGCAUCAUCAUCAUAUGUUACACAGGAAACAAUAAAACAAUAGCAAGACAUUUGGGCAGUUUGGUGACCGCUAGUUCUUGUCCUCAAAUAUUUUCGUGUUGUCAAAAGGAAAUUUGUGAUCAUUUUUAGGAGGUUCCUGAUAGUGAUUUAACUAAAUGAUGUCUGCUGUGAAUGCUUCUUUUUUUUUUCUUUCCUUUUUUUCUUGCAGUUAAUAAAUUAAGUUGCUCUGGUCUUCGUUCCCA